rnacentral:ncRNA from 1 species
UUAAAGUUUUAUUCUUGCUUAUAAAUUUGUUAUUAAUUUAUUUUACAUGUAAAUUUUUGUAAGAAUUAUUUUAUUAUUUUAAAAAUUUAAAAUUUUAUUUAUUUACAGUAAUUAAUAUUAUAUAUUAAGGAAAUUUAGAUAUAGUAAUGUUAGUUAAUAUUGACAAAAGUUGUGCCAGCAGUCGCGGUUAGACAAAAAAUAUAAAUAAAUUUUAUUAGUAAUAGUUAAAUUAUUGAUUAUACAAAAUAUUAAAUUUAUUAGGUGGAAUUUUAAAUUUAUAUUAUUUUAUUUAUUGAUUAAUUGAAGCUAAGAAAUUUUAAAGUUAAACUAGGAUUAGAUACCCUAUUAUUUAAAAUGUUGAUUUAUUUAUUUGAGUAGUAAUAGAUAUGUUCUUGAAACUUAAAGAAUUUGGCGGUAUUUUAGUCUAUUCAGAGGAAUCUGUUCUUUAAUCGAUAGUCCACGUUGAACCUUACUUAGUUUUGUUUAUUUACAAUUUGUAUACCGCCGUUAUUAGAAUAUUUUAUAAGAAUAAUAAUUUUCUUUAUUUUUUAUUAAAAGUAAUGUCAGGUCAAGGUGCAGUUUAUAGUUAAGUAGAAAUGGAUUACAAUAAAUUUAUUUAUAUGGAUUAAAAUAUGAAAAAUUUUUUGAAGGUGGAUUUGAUAGUAAAAUAUUAAAGAUUAUUUAUUUGAUUAUAGCUCUAAAAUAUGCACACAUCGCCCGUCGCUCUUAUUAUUAAGAUAAGAUAAGUCGUAACAUAGUAGAUGUACUGGAAAGUGUAUCUAGAAAGAC